rnacentral:lncRNA from 1 species
CUAUUUCCCAGGCUGUACACAUUUGCUGAAUCUUCACAAAGGCAGGGUAACCAUGGUGAGAAAGAUGUUGAUGGCUUGGAUGGAGAACAGCUCUGUGGCCUGUUGUGCUUCAAUUUCGUCAUCUUCAAAACCAGGAAGAGCUAUAUUCAUCUUAUCUCACAAAGCUGAUUAACAUAAAUGAAGGAGCCUUGGAAAAUGGAAAGCAUUAUACAAAUGCUUUACAAGAAUUUCAAGGAGAUAUAAAAAUAAUGCAAAUUGUCUGGAAGAACUCGCCUCUCCUCUCCUUACUCCACCCUGCUAUUGGGAAAAAGAUUAACUGAUGGUGAGUGGUGAGUCUAUAAUACCAUCACUCCAUGUUCCUGGAUGUUAAAAGUCACUCACACAUGUGACUUCUGUCUUUACAACACAUGAAGUAGGUAAGGCCAGAAUUCUGCUUCCAGCUAACUGGGAGAGGUAGUCUGUUCCCAAAGACUUAAAAUAUCCUCAGGUCAGGAGUUUCAAAGUCUACACUUAGAGGGAAGAACCAGGAAGUCCGUAAAGUCAUAGGUUUCAACCGCAUCCUUCAAUUUAGUAUUUCUAACAACAAUGCUGGUAUUUUGAUAUCCAUCUCUUUAAUACCUGCUUCUAUUUCCAACUUGUUUAGAACUUGAAGAGGGAGAUAAGGUUUAAUUUUGUGCCUUCCCCAAGCCCAGCAUUUAGGGAUGCAGAGAUAUUAUGUAUUUUAAGCAUGUGCUGUAGUAGCCAAUGGGAAUCCAGAAUGUUGUUGUUUAUUUGCAUUUUAAUUUACUACAGAAUUGUUGAUUUUAGGCCCUUUGAUCCAAUGCUAAUUUAAAUCAUUUUCAAUAGAACAUUGUUUAUUUCCCUUCAUGCUUUAUAACUCUAAAUAAUAAAAAAUACCAUCUUUCACUUUAAAGUCCAUAUUCUCCAGGCAUUAUUUUUGAGCUUCACAUAGGCUUAGAAGAAAAACUGAUCAACAGUAGUGAUGUGGUGGUUGUGGAAGCAGUUGCAUAGCUUAGAUAGCUCAGGUUUUAAAUCUCACCUUUGCCUUAUGUUAACUGUGUGAACAGGUUAAAAUUACUUUGAUCUCUCUACACCUGUUUCCUUGUAUGUAAAAUGAGAGUAACAAAAGAGUAGCUGGGAAGAUUAGUGAGCUAAGACAUGCACAGUGAUUACCAUGUCUCCUGCCAUAUACGCCUCAAAAAUUUAGCUCUUAUUAUACUUGUUUGGUUCAUAGUAGGUGAAGUGUUUGGUAGAAAAAUUGGGAAUUCAUUCCUUUCUUGAUUAGAGUGAAUGACAAUCCAUUUGCAGAAAGCUGCAGAAAGACCGCUCCAGAAAUAGAAUGAGGCAACCGCUCUGGAGAAUUGAAAACUAACGGGAGCUACGCUCCACAAAAGAUAAGGAAAUAAAAAUGCCAGGAACAAUAUUCUGAGAAGAAGGGAAAACAAAAGAACAGAAAAAUUAUCAGUUAUAUAGCGGGGAAAAAUCUGAAAGGAAAAAAUCUCAAGAGAAGGGGACUAAAGAAGUAUAAAGCUGAUUAUUCUAUAUUGAUCGACCCAUCAAUGUGCUAAUCAAGCAGUAAGCAGAAGGUUGCAGGAUGGAAGUAUGGAUUCUUCCUGACCAUUCGUUACGCAGUAGAUGCUUUCUCUACUUAAUGACAACAGCAAUAGGCAACUGGAA